rnacentral:rRNA from 1 species
ACGCGAGGAACCUUACCAGGUCUUGACAUCCUCUGACACUCCUAGAGAUAGGACGUUCCCCUUCGGGGGACAGAGUGACAGGUGGUGCAUGGUUGUCGUCAGCUCGUGUCGUGAGAUGUUGGGUUAAGUCCCGCAACGAGCGCAACCCUUGAUCUUAGUUGCCAGCAUUUAGUUGGGCACUCUAAGGAGACUGCCGGUGACAAACCGGAGGAAGGUGGGGAUGACGUCAAAUCAUCAUGCCCCUUAUGACCUGGGCUACACACGUGCUGCAAUGGACGGUACAAACGGUUGCCAACCCGCGAGGGGGAGCUAAUCCGAUAAAACCGUUCUCAGUUCGGAUUGUAGGCUGCAACUCGCCUACAUGAAGCCGGAAUCGCUAGUAAUCGCGGAUCAGCAUGCCGCGGUGAAUACGUUCCCGGGCCUUGCACACACCGCCCGU